CCAUUUUGCUUCCAAUUCCAUCUUGUGCUUUCUUCCCCUCCCAACAAUGAAAGCCCUCACUUAAAACUUAUUCACUUUCUCUAAAACCAACUCUCAAAAGUCUACAUCUUUAAACCCUUUUUCUUUCCAGAGAAUCCAAGCGAAAGCAAAAGCAUCGCGAUUAACUCACAAAGCGAAAGGCUGGAGAGGUGGACGACCGUGGUGGCCACUGCACUUCUGCCUAUUUCCUCUUGACUGCUGAUUACGGCUCCGAGCCCAACGCUCUUGACCCUUUCAUUGAUGUCAAAACGAUUGUUUCUCCAACAACUUAUGCCCAGUGUAGUUUGUCUUAUCUCAUGAGUGACAAGCUCUCAACGAUGCAAUGCAGGCACAAGUAGUUUCCCCAGUUUGGAAACUCUCAAAGACAAGGGGGGAUUCUGCUUUUAAUCACAAGGACUUCAGAACCACAUUUGAGUGUUUUUCACAUGUUAGGUUCUUAUUAUGAUACUUGUGGGAAAUUCUGAGUAGAGGUUUGAUAAGAGUUGCUUUCAUGUUCAUACCAAUAUUUGAAUUUGGCCUUCAAUAGGAUGUUCUUUAUCUGACCUGUUAAAAUAAAUUACUAAACACAACUUCGCACGAAAUUUUGUUUGGUCUUUGGUGUAAGAUAUCCAGUCAGAAUACGAUCGUUGCAUUUUAUCUUCUAAUUAAUGAUAGGAAGAUUUGAAGAAACGAAAUUGGUAAUUUAAGGUAUCUUAGAGUAUUUGAACCCAGUAACUCUACUUGCAUGACUAAUAAAGGGAACAAAACUGAAAGGGAAAAAAAAUUGGUAAAUCCUUAAUUGCUGCUUUCUCUGCAUUUGUUAUCGUUGCUGACGGUUCUAUUUCACUUGCAGUUCAUUGGUUUGGAGCAAUGGUUUCUCCAACAAUUUUUGCCCAGCGUAGUUUGUCUUAUCUCAUGAGUGACCAGCCUCAGGAAGCUAUAAACGAUGCAAUGCAAGCACAAGUAGUUUCCCCAGUUUGGCACCUGCAUGUUAUCUUCAGGCUGUUGCCCUUUCGGCCUUUGGAAUGGAUGGUGCAGCUCAAGCAGCACUUACGGAGGGUACUAUGCUUGAAUCCUAAAGGAGCAAAGCAGUUGGACAGAAGUGAAAAUCUAGGCCGGUCAACAAGGUGCCUAGUUUGCCACUUCUCUCGGUUUGGCUCUCAGCUUAUAUAGCCGCCGAUCAUAAGGUUUAAAACCACUGGAGCCAAAGCUUCAUCAUUUCCAUGGUAUUAGAUUUUGUCAUCUUCCAGCAGUAUAUGUUGUAUUUGAAUUGUUUUAUUUGAUUUGAUUUCCCGUGCAUCAAAUGAUUCGAGUAUAUGAGUUACUUUGACAAAAUAGAAAGAAAAAUAGAAAGUUGUAAAAAACACUGGUAGGGAGGAUGUCAUUCAGAAGCUUGUAAUUUGUGUGUAGAAAGCAUAUAGGAUUCCUGGUGUAUUAUUUAUGAUGAAUUUUAAUAAUAAUUAGUUUGUUAAAUGUUGUCUGAU